rnacentral:rRNA from 1 species
GGUUAAGCGACUAAGCGUACACGGUGGAUGCCCUGGCAGUCAGAGGCGAUGAAGGACGUGCUAAUCUGCGAUAAGCGUCGGUAAGGUGAUAUGAACCGUUAUAACCGGCGAUUUCCGAAUGGGGAAACCCAGUGUGUUUCGACACACUAUCAUUAACUGAAUCCAUAGGUUAAUGAGGCGAACCGGGGGAACUGAAACAUCUAAGUACCCCGAGGAAAAGAAAUCAACCGAGAUUCCCCCAGUAGCGGCGAGCGAACGGGGAGCAGCCCAGAGCCUGAAUCAGUGUGUGUGUUAGUGGAAGCGUCUGGAAAGGCGUGCGAUACAGGGUGACAGCCCCGUACACAAAAAUGCACAUGCUGUGAGCUCGAUGAGUAGGGCGGGACACGUGGUAUCCUGUCUGAAUAUGGGGGGACCAUCCUCCAAGGCUAAAUACUCCUGACUGACCGAUAGUGAACCAGUACCGUGAGGGAAAGGCGAAAAGAACCCCGGCGAGGGGAGUGAAAAAGAACCUGAAACCGUGUACGUACAAGCAGUGGGAGCACGCUUAGGCGUGUGACUGCGUACCUUUUGUAUAAUGGGUCAGCGACUUAUAUUCUGUAGCAAGGUUAACCGAAUAGGGGAGCCGAAGGGAAACCGAGUCUUAACUGGGCGUUAAGUUGCAGGGUAUAGACCCGAAACCCGGUGAUCUAGCCAUGGGCAGGUUGAAGGUUGGGUAACACUAACUGGAGGACCGAACCGACUAAUGUUGAAAAAUUAGCGGAUGACUUGUGGCUGGGGGUGAAAGGCCAAUCAAACCGGGAGAUAGCUGGUUCUCCCCGAAAGCUAUUUAGGUAGCGCCUCGUGAAUUCAUCUCCGGGGGUAGAGCACUGUUUCGGCAAGGGGGUCAUCCCGACUUACCAACCCGAUGCAAACUGCGAAUACCGGAGAAUGUUAUCACGGGAGACACACGGCGGGUGCUAACGUCCGUCGUGAAGAGGGAAACAACCCAGACCGCCAGCUAAGGUCCCAAAGUCAUGGUUAAGUGGGAAACGAUGUGGGAAGGCCCAGACAGCCAGGAUGUUGGCUUAGAAGCAGCCAUCAUUUAAAGAAAGCGUAAUAGCUCACUGGUCGAGUCGGCCUGCGCGGAAGAUGUAACGGGGCUAAACCAUGCACCGAAGCUGCGGCAGCGACGCUUAUGCGUUGUUGGGUAGGGGAGCGUUCUGUAAGCCUGCGAAGGUGUGCUGUGAGGCAUGCUGGAGGUAUCAGAAGUGCGAAUGCUGACAUAAGUAACGAUAAAGCGGGUGAAAAGCCCGCUCGCCGGAAGACCAAGGGUUCCUGUCCAACGUUAAUCGGGGCAGGGUGAGUCGACCCCUAAGGCGAGGCCGAAAGGCGUAGUCGAUGGGAAACAGGUUAAUAUUCCUGUACUUGGUGUUACUGCGAAGGGGGGACGGAGAAGGCUAUGUUGGCCGGGCGACGGUUGUCCCGGUUUAAGCGUGUAGGCUGGUUUUCCAGGCAAAUCCGGAAAAUCAAGGCUGAGGCGUGAUGACGAGGCACUACGGUGCUGAAGCAACAAAUGCCCUGCUUCCAGGAAAAGCCUCUAAGCAUCAGGUAACAUCAAAUCGUACCCCAAACCGACACAGGUGGUCAGGUAGAGAAUACCAAGGCGCUUGAGAGAACUCGGGUGAAGGAACUAGGCAAAAUGGUGCCGUAACUUCGGGAGAAGGCACGCUGAUAUGUAGGUGAAGUCCCUCGCGGAUGGAGCUGAAAUCAGUCGAAGAUACCAGCUGGCUGCAACUGUUUAUUAAAAACACAGCACUGUGCAAACACGAAAGUGGACGUAUACGGUGUGACGCCUGCCCGGUGCCGGAAGGUUAAUUGAUGGGGU